rnacentral:ncRNA from 1 species
UGGUUCUUAGAAAGGAUAGAUGGUUGGCAUCUCCCCUGACAGGGACGGGAACAGCUUUCCGGUUUUCUUGUUACCACACAUCCGGUUAAAUCUAUUCAGGUGGAUCUAUAACCCAAUAUUUUU